rnacentral:rRNA from 1 species
GAUGAACGCUGGCGGCGUGCCUAAUACAUGCAAGUCGAGCGAACAGACGAGGAGCUUGCUCCUCUGACGUUAGCGGCGGACGGGUGAGUAACACGUGGAUAACCUACCUAUAAGACUGGGAUAACUUCGGGAAACCGGAGCUAAUACCGGAUAAUAUAUUGAACCGCAUGGUUUAAUAGUGAAAGACGGUUUUGAUGUCACUUAUAGAUGGAUCCGCGCCGCAUUAGCUAGUUGGUAAGGUAACGGCUUACCAAGGCAACGAUGCGUAGCCGACCUGAGAGGGUGAUCGGCCACACUGGAACUGAGACACGGUCCAGACUCCUACGGGAGGCAGCAGUAGGGAAUCUUGCGCAAUGGGCGAAAGCCUGACGGAGCAACGCCGCGUGAGUGAUGAAGGUCUUCGGAUCGUAAAACUCUGUUAUUAGGGAAGAACAAAUGUGUAAGUAACUAUGCACGUCUUGACGGUACCUAAUCAGAAAUCCACGGCUAACUACGUG